rnacentral:lncRNA from 1 species
AAGUGUGGUGUGACCGGUUGAUGCCAUGUUCACAUGAUUUUUGUUACUUUUAAAUAUUUAUUUAGGUGACACUUUAACUAAAUUAGAUUUUAAUUGGAAGUGGAUCCUGGGCCUGACGCGCAUGUUUUUCCCACCCCCAGAUUUUGGGACCAUUUGUGUGUUUAACUAUUCUCAAGUUCGGGUUUAUUUUGCUGAUGCACCCCCUUGUGCCACUUAAUUCCAUUUUAUUUCUUUUGUUUUAUUUUAUUUUCUGAUUUU